GACGAACGCUGGCGGCGUGCUUAACACAUGCAAGUCGAACGGAAAGGCCCUGCUUUUGUGGGUUGCUCGAGUGGCGAACGGGUGUGUAACACGUGAGUAUCCUGUCCUUAUCUUACGGGUAACAUUACGAAACUCGGGCUAAUAUACCAUAUGAUCUCUUGCUCCAUAGGGGGGGUUGGAAAGUUUCGGCGGUUGGGGCUCGACUCGCGGCUUAUCCGCUUGUUGGUGGGGUAGUGGCUUACCAAGGCUUAGACGGAUAGCCGGCCUGGGAGGGUGAACGGGGACAAGGGGACUGAGGGAGGGAGCAGAAGGGAAUGGUACGCAGCGGUGGGGAGCAUGACAGAGUGGGCGGAAGCGAGAGACGAAGACGCUGGGAGCGGAAUGACGGGUUACGAGGGGAGAACAGAUGUCGAAGGAAACGAGGAGUGAGUGACGGUAAUGGGUAAAGAAGCACCGGCUAACUACGUG
rnacentral:rRNA from 1 species